rnacentral:lncRNA from 1 species
AUGAAGAGAGGGUAUUCAUUCAAGAGGAAUCUGCAAGGAUAUCAGAAGAAAUUGAAUGUCUUCUUUUGCUCGGCAUUUCCUUCCUCACAAUUACAUCUUCUCCUGGACAGGAGCUUCUCACAAGAAACCCAGGCAGUCUUCUCUCCAUUUCUUGCAUUGAUCUCGUUCUCCAGCACGUACCUGGUUCAGGGCUUGCAAGGAACAUGGUGGAAUUGCUUCAGACAGCUACCACCAUCCACGCUCCUGCAACUGACUCUGUACAGCCAGGCCUCUGACUGCACAGCCUCUGGCAAAGGACACAAGGGACCACUCUGCUUUGGGGGGCCCAGCUGCAGAAGGCAGGAGGUGGGUCAGAUAAUGGUAGAACACAGCUCUAGCUUUUGUGUAGUGUGCAUUAGCUUAACACAAGGAAGGUGUGAUGAUUACACACAGGCUCUGGGUGCAUGCUACUUUGUCUUGUGAAUUUCUUCACAAGUGAUGGGAUUCUGGCAGUGGUUGAAGUGAAUCUACUAGCAAAGCAAGCUGCUAUAACCUUACAAUAUUUUAAUUCGGCCAGAGAUAAAUUCCCCGCUGAUUUGCUGGUUACUAUAUUUGCCCAUUUCCCCAUGUAAAAGCAUCCUAUCAGACCUUUUCAGAGAGUGGGCAUAAGUAUUUUCUCAAACAACACUACACUCAUUUUUAAAGGAUGGAAGAAAAGAAAAACGGGAAAACAAAAGCUCACAGCAGCUCUGCUCCUUAUUUCUGUCCCAUGCGGAGAUGACAGUUGAGUUACUUCUUCGCCCUGCGGCACUCUCUGCAGCACUAACCUUGGGAAGGUGCAGAAAGAAACGGCAAAGGAUAAGGAGUUCUAUCUCUGGAGGCAGAGAGGGAGGGCUUAGGAGCUGAAACCAGUAACAGAGGUUGGGGAUGGUGGGGAAAGAAAAUUGAUGUGAAUUGGGAAACAUGAAAAAUAGGGAAACAUGCAGAAUUGACAGGGUGAGGGAUGAAUAGUCUGUUAGUCAUUGGGGUGAGCAGAACUGAGGCCGGCGGCAGGCUGAUGUUUGGUCUGCGGGGCAAGACUGCUGUAGAAGCUGUGAAAGAGAAGUGAGUGUUCAGAAGCAGGCAGAAAGGUGGGAGGACAGGAGGUUUCUGAAGUGUUUCUCAGCAAACUGGAGAGAUUGGCUGAAUGUUUGUUAUAAAGACAUGCUGAGUGUGGUUGAAAGGAAGACUCAAAAGAGUUAAUAGUUAGGUUGAAAUCCACUGUGUAAGACUUUAAGAACAUAUAAAUUAAAAGUCAAAAGCAGAUACCUAUGAAAGAGAAUUACAGUGGGAGCAGCACAAAAUGAUACUUUCCCCAAAUAUGCUUCCAAACAGAAUUCCUGAGCCAGAGGUGAUACCCGUGCAUUAAAAAGCCCCUCAGUACAUAUCUACCAGCUUGGCUGGUCUCCCCUUGAGCCUGUCUGAAUGUUUAGCAUCCACAUCACCCUGUAGCAGGGAGUCUCAGAGUUUUGCUCCAGUUGUACUUACCUGGCACACUUUCCGUGCAGAACUGAGGAACGACGGCAGGAUCACAUACCUGAAUGAGGUAUCAAGGCCACAUGUGCAAACAGGAUCCUCUCUCCAAAGAUAUCACAGCACAGGAGCCUGUAGGUACCUGGGCCUGGGUCAAAAGACAAAACUAGUCCUUCCAUUGACUCUGUCUUAGUUUCAGGUCUGUAUCCCAAAGUAGCCAGCGUCAUUUGCUGAUGUCUUAAGUUACGUUUUGUUUAAAAGCUUCCCAUCUGUUUAGGUUUGUACUCUGUUUCAUACACAUUUAAAUUACUGCUGGAUGGAUGUGGUACAGUGAUGAUUUUGGAAACAUUCUCAUUGUUUUUUAAUUUCCUACGUGCUGCGUUUUUUUUACAGAGAUCAGCACAAAAAGGCAAAACACAACCAACUGUGACAGAAUAUAUAAAACAGCAUGAGCUGCCUACAGAUAAAUGAAAACAGUCCAAAAUAAUAGAGACCAAUGUGAAUCAUGACCAAUAAGCCUAUUUGUAAUAAUAAACAUGUCAUCUCUGUCA